CACAAGCGGUGGAGCAUGUGGUUUAAUCGAAGCAACGCGAAGAACCUUACCAGGUCUUGACAUCCCGAUGCUAUUUCUAGAGAUAGAAAGUUACUUCGGUACAUCGGUGACAGGUGGUGCAUGGUUGUCGUCAGCUCGUGUCGUGAGAUGUUGGGUUAAGUCCCGCAACGAGCGCAACCCUAUUGUUAGUUGCCAUCAUUCAGUUGGGCACUCUAGCGAGACUGCCGGUAAUAAACCGGAGGAAGGUGGGGAUGACGUCAAAUCAUCAUGCCCCUUAUGACCUGGGCUACACACGUGCUACAAUGGUUGGUACAACGAGUUGCGAGUCGGUGACGGCGAGCUAAUCUCUUAAAGCCAAUCUCAGUUCGGAUUGUAGGCUGCAACUCGCCUACAUGAAGUCGGAAUCGCUAGUAAUCGCGGAUCAGCACGCCGCGGUGAAUACGUUCCCGGGUCUU
rnacentral:rRNA from 1 species